AGAGUUUGAUCAUGGCUCAGGAUGAACGCUGGCGGCGUGCCUAACACAUGCAAGUCGAGCGAUCUUCUUCGGAAGAGAGCGGCGGACGGGUGAGUAACGCGUGGGUAACCUGCCUCAUACACAUGGAUAACAUACCGAAAGGUAUGCUAAUACAAGAUGAUAUAAGAGAUUCGCAUGGAUUUCUUAUCAAAGCUCCGGCGGUAUGAGAUGGACCCGCAUCUGAUUAGCUAGUUGGUAAGGUAACGGCUUACCAAGGCGACGAUCAGUAGCCGACCUGAGAGGGUGAUCGGCCACAUUGGAACUGAGACACGGUCCAAACUCCUACGGGAGGCAGCAGUGGGGAAUAUUGCACAAUGGGCGAAAGCCUGAUGCAGCAACGCCGCGUGAGCGAUGAAGGCCUUCGGGUCGUAAAGCUCUGUCCUCAAGGAAGAUAAUGACGGUACUUGAGGAGGAAGCCCCGGCUAACUACGUGCCAGCAGCCGCGGUAAUACGUAGGGGGCUAGCGUUAUCCGGAUUUACUGGGCGUAAAGGGUGCGUAGGUGGUUUCUUAAGUCAGGAGUGAAAGGCUACGGCUCAACCGUAGUAAGCUCUUGAAACCGGGAAACUUGAGUGCAGGAGAGGAAAGUGGAAUUCCUAGUGUAGCGGUGAAAUGCGUAGAUAUUAGGAGGAACACCAGUAGCGAAGGCGGCUUUCUGGACUGUAACUGACACUGAGGCACGAAAGCGUGGGGAGCAAACAGGAUUAGAUACCCUGGUAGUCCACGCCGUAAACGAUGAGUACUAGGUGUCGGGGGUUACCCCCCCCGGUGCCGCAGCUAACGCAUUAAGUACUCCGCCUGGGGAGUACGCUCGCAAGAGUGAAACUCAAAGGAAUUGACGG
rnacentral:rRNA from 1 species